AAUAAGAUUAUUUUUCAGUUUUUAUAUACAAUGACUCUUCGUCUUAUUUAAAAUUUUUUUACGAUUAAUAUUUUUAUUGUAAUACAUGAUAAAACAUGAAAAAUAUUUUAUGCAUGACUAAUUUUUUUAAUUUUUUACAAAUUUUUCAAAUAAGACGAAUGGUUAAACUUUAGACACACAAAGCAAAAAAUAAAGUUAUU
rnacentral:pre_miRNA from 1 species